ACAUUCAUUCCCGCACAAAGCCCCGCACCCGCUCCUCCGCUUUAACUCCAAACACACCAUCCCUUCCUCAUUCCAUCCUUCGCCUUCCGCUCUCUUAAUUCUGUUCUCUUUUCUUCCCCGAUAUCUAUCCAUCGAAUCAAGGAAGACUUUCUCUCUGCAGAUUGCAAAUGGGUUUUCCAAUUGGUUACUCGGAAAUUUUCGUGCCGACUAUUUUCCUCCACACGCUCUCAAUUCUGGGUCUCAUCAGAAACCUCAUUUCCUCCCUCUUCCACUUCCUGGGUCUGCCGGACCUCAUAGAACCCGAUUUCGUAUUUCCUGAGGCCCAGAACCGGCUACCUAAUGCAGAUACCCAAGCUCCCAUGUCCGCUAUCCUUAUCCGGGAGCUCCUGCCCGUGGUUAAGUUCGAGAGCCUGGCAGACCCACCCGAGAGCUGCGCGGUCUGUCUGCACGAGUUUGACAGAGGAGAGGAGAUCAGGUGGUUGAGGAACUGCAGGCAUGUCUUCCACACCGGGUGCUUGGACCGUUGGAUAGACUGUGAUCAGAAGACAUGCCCGUUGUGUAGGACCCAGUUCGUGCCUGAUGAUAUGAGAGAGGAGUUUUGUCAACAGCUAUGGGCUGCCUCCGGGGUUGGUGAGUUUCACGAUGUGUCGUAAUAUAUAUACAUUUCAACUUCAACUUCAACUUCAACUUCAACGUGAGGAGGCUUCUGUUCUGUUGGCAGCCUGAUGUGGGGCUUCUAUUGGAAUUAUAGGGGGAAAAGCUGGUGAGAAAACAGUUCCAGCCUUGAUUCCAGCUGCUGCGGUGCAAAUGCUGAGCUUCCUUCUUGUUGUCCCAUGUUCUGUCCAGCGCUGGAGUGUUCCCUGUAUGUCCUCUUAAUUUUUUUGAUAGUUUCGUUUAGGUCUGCAGAAUUUACCUGAGUGUAAGACAUCAUUCCGUGAGAUCUACAAUUGAUAAAGAGUAAUGGCGGCAUAUAAUGAAAAGCAAGCUUUAUCAUCAGAGUUUGUAAUAAAGGUCUGCAGAUUUACCGAUC